rnacentral:rRNA from 1 species
AUGCAAGUCGAACGAUGAUCCGGUGCUUGCACCGGGGAUUAGUGGCGAACGGGUGANUAACACGUGAGUAACCUGCCCUUAACUCUGGGAUAAGCCUGGGAAACUGGGUCUAAUACCGGAUAUGACUCCUCAUCGCAUGGNGGGGGGUGGAAAGCUUUAUUGUGGUUUUGGAUGGACUCGCGGCCUAUCANCUUGUUGGUGAGGUAAUGGCUCACCAAGGCGACGACGGGUAGCCGGCCUGAGAGGGUGACCGGCCACACUGGGACUGANACACGGCCCAGACUCCUACGGGAGGCAGCAGUGGGGAAUAUUGCACAAUGGGCGCAAGCCUGAUGCAGCGACGCCGCGUGAGGGAUGACGGCCUUCGGGUUGUAAACCUCUUUCAGUAGGGAAGAAGCGAANGUGACGGUACCUGCNGAAGAAGCGCCGGCUAACUACGUGCCANCAGCCGNGGUAAUACGUAGGGCGCAAGCGUUAUCCGGAAUUAUUGGGCGUAAAGAGCUCGUAGGCGGUUUGUCGCGUCU